AAUGAUAUACUCGUCUUUAAUGAUAUUAUACGUUCACUCUCUAUGGUGGAGCUUCCCAUCAAGGGGCGAGCGUUUACAUGGAGCAAUAUGCAGACAAAUCCGUUACUGGAACAACUCGAUUGGCAUUUUACUUCAGCAAAUUGGGCGGCCACAUACCCUAAUACGUUAGUCAUGCCACUGGGGAAGCGCGUUUCAGAUCACGUCCUCUGUUACGUAAGCAAUGACUCAGCUAUAAGGAGCACGAGGUGUGGAUCGGCGCCCCUCGGGUCUGGCAACGAGGCGGCCGGCCAUAGGGUAGUAGAGCAAGAGUGCCUGCGACAGAGCCUUCUUGAUUGUCUCAACCAGGUCGUCGAUUAG
rnacentral:rRNA from 1 species